rnacentral:lncRNA from 1 species
AAUUAACUCAGGUGCUACGCACAUGAGUGAAUUAAUGUGUUGUUCGGUCACUCGUUGAAUAUUUUUCUCUAUUUGAAUUCUUCCAUUAGUUAUUCUAUAAAUAUUGUGAUUUAUUUUUAAAAAUAACUUCUUUCCAUUAUUACCAAAAUUUGAGGAAUGUUAAUUAUUAUGUUAGAAAAUUUAUAAAGUAAGUUUAGAUCUAGUAGGAGGUUGUGAAAUGAUAAUGAAAACUGCCAGUACAUGUAAUACCAAAAGGUUGUAAAAGAAUCAAGUACUGAGUUUUUUGUUGUUUAUAUUGCUUUGAAAUUCAAUUGUUAAUGAAUUGAAAUCAUUUAAGCAACAUGUGCAAAACACUGAAAAUGUAUGACUUAAAAGAUAAAACGGCCAAAAGCCAAUUGUUUCCUUGUCAUGACAUAUGUCUGUAACACAUAUGUAACUUGUCUGUUCUCCAUAAAUAUAAGGUAUGAAUGAUUAAUAGGAAUCUAUUUUAUUAUAGUGUCCUUAUAUUUAGUGAGCCAACACUUAUUGUAUUUUAAAUGCAAAUUUGAUGCCACAAAGCAAAUAUCUUGAUGUUAUAAUGUCAUAUAAAAAAACUUCACCAAAAUUACCCCCAGGCCAACCACAGCACUUCAUUCAUAAAACAGAAAUUAGAAACAUGUCUAUAUGCAUAUGGCCACUGUAAUUAUUAAAAAGACAAGUUAGAGUUGGUUGCAGAUGAGAGCAGAUGAAUGUUUUAGAUUACAUUAUUAUUAUCCCCUCUUUUGUAUAAUGUAAUAAAUUGUGUAUUCCCUGCUUAUGAUAGUAGGGGGACAUACUUUCUAAUCAGUGUGUCUGUCCUACAUCAGGUUACAGAUUUGGUUUUUGGGUAGUUAACCAUAAAUAUAUGGACACAUCAACUUGAAACUUAGUUCACAGUUGAAUUCAUUAGGAUGUGAACAUUUUUUAUAUAUAUUCCAAGUAAAGGUUUUGUCUCAGAUUUCAUGGUUCACUGAACAUGGAAAUUUUAUAAAGUUCAAGUUAAAAAUGGUGCACAGUGUAUUUUAUCUAUAUUAUUUUAACAAAAAAUUAGUCAGUUUAUAUUCUAAAAUUAUUUUCGGAAUCUUUUGCAUAAAUUGACUGUUCCGCAAGUUGGCAAGGAAGACUCAAAAAUUGUUUUUAAUGAAAUAUGUAUCAUUGAUUGAUAGAUUUUUAAAUAUAUAAUUUUAUUUACUUGUUGUGAUUAGAUGUCUCGUAUUGAUUCAGUUGGUGCUAUAUUGUAUUGUUUAUAGAGAUAUGAUGAAGAAAAGCAACAAUAAAAUGGGUAACAUCACAGGAAUUUUUAGUCAUAACAUGUAAGGGUAAAUUUUUAUAUCAUAGGUAGCUAUAUGAGAUUGGUCUUCAGGAUCGAUCAUUUAGUUUCAAGGGUGUGGGCAAUGGAGGGGUAUGGGUUUUUUGCCUUAGUCAGAAAUUAUAUUUUUAAGGAAAAAACCAUAAUUCCCCUGCAAGUUAAGGUGGUACCUAACACUACAGGGAGAUAACUCUGUAAAGUCAGCUAAACGUUUUAAUUACUUUGUGUUGUAAAAGGAAUAUUAAGCUUCUCAAUGAUCAAAAUUGGUUUUUGUUUAAUUACUAUAUAACCAGUGUAAUAUUUCUGACAAAACGGUUGGUUCAAAAUUUUCAAAAUUUUAUAUUUUGAUUAAAGGAAGAAAAGUAAAUACUUUGACAAAAUUUUAUGAAAAUUAAACGAGCCAAAUUAAUUUUAGUGAAAGUGUUGGGUACCACCUUAAAUGGUCGUUCUUUUAUAUUGUAUAAAGAAUAAUUUUAUUAUGAAAAUAAACUGUUAUUAACAAUUAACUAUCAGUCUUUUUAUAGAGAAGUACAUUAUGAUUUAAUGAUUUCUGUAUUUGUAUGCAUCAUUUAAAGAUCAUGAAUUAGUUAAUAAUGCAUUUUACUCUAUUGAUUUCUCCAUUCUGUUGAUCAUUGAAUAA